rnacentral:lncRNA from 1 species
UGGCAUAGCCUGGAUAUUCUUCUGGAGGAGCUACUCUACGGCUCUGUGAGUUACGCGCUCGUAAUAAAAGUCUAGCAGAUCAGACAACCCGGUGUACUGGAAAUUGGAGUUCUCAGGUACUACGAAGUAUAGCAACCAUCAGUGUGUACUUGUGAUUUGAGCGAACCAAAGGAUUCAAUCUGCCUGGGAGUAGUGAGCCGUCUGAAUCUGUUGAGAAUCCGCCAAAGGUGGUAUUCGUUGGGAUUUGGGUAAUCAACGAAGGUAAAAUCGGUAUGAAGAUCAAAUUACAAAAUCUGUCAUCCGAAGAAUCUGCCAAAAGUGACAUCAGUAGAGAAAAAUACUUGAUAUCUGUCCGUAUACAGAAUCCGCCAAGAGGCGCCAAUGUAUAUUCAUAUCAUUAUAUUCAGCAGUUUUACGAAGAUUAUAGUAUCAAAAUAUUUACAAACACAUAGAGCUCGCAAUUUAAGAGAAGCUCACAAAACAUAUAAUCACAUAGAGCUCGCAAAACACUAUUCAUAUUUAGCUCGCAUAUCAUUGUUCAUAUAAUCACAUAUUUAAUCACAAUAAUAAAAUAGAUUUUUAGAGAAAACUUACUCUCAGAACUUAGGGUAAAGCCCUAAACUCCUGAUUAACACUACGGUCCGCACAUACUAACAGC